GGGGGACAAGUGUGUUCCUCUUUAGGGGACGUACAGCAAGUUGUUUCCCACACGUAUCUUGCUUCACUGGCCUCUUGUCCAAUGAUAACCUGAUUUAUCUCCUGCAGGAGUCCAUCAUCCAGUUGAAGAGCACCCAUCAGCUGCAGGGAAGGUACAAAACAUGAGCACAUGGACAGCAGCCUCAGAGGUAACAUCAGCAAUCAAUAUAAUCCCUCGGCUUCUGUUGGCAGAGUGUCAUCCUGACGGACUUCCUUACCCUGGAGGGUCCGUGGGGCUCAUCCCCCCACCCCCUCCUCCUCGCAGUGGUACUCCUGGCCAUGCUCGUGGGGCAGAGGAUAGGAGCCUGACUGGGGCAGCAUGUCCUGCGAGGUGCUCGUCACGCCGUUGUUGUCACACUGCGAGUACUGGGAACUCAGGGAACUGGGUGUGGCCAGGCCCUGGACCUCGCCACUGAAGGGACUCUGGCUGGAGCCCACUCUUUGACGCACGGUACUGCGAGAUCAUUUGGUCUGUGGCUGUGUAUAAAUGUUAUGGGAAGAGGGUCGGACCACCCCUACGACUUUUCUCAUAUUGGCUGACCCACAAUGUGUGUGUGUUAGCUGCAGCAACAGAGGUAAGGCAUAAGUCACGAAACCAGAUUCUAUCCUUAGAAAUAGUGUUUUGCACUCACUCCAUCUCUCAUGCGGGCGGAAUAAUAUACAAAUACAGUACUGGUAUAGACAUCUCACACAAGCUUAAUCACCGCAACCCAAUGCUCACAACAGGCUUGUGUUAGAGGGAAUGAGACAGGAUGUUGGUCAUCACACUGCUGUAUUGUGUUUCUUUGACAUUUAAGAAAGUCGCAGAUCAAUGGAAGUGAUGGAUCGGUGAUAAAAUGUGGAAUCUGUGUUAAAGAUGCUUAGUUUUGUUGGACACGGUCAGAGAGACAUUCAUUUGUGUAUUAUAUAACCAAUAUAAACAUCAACAGUUUAUUGCAGUGAAGUUGCUAUACAACCACAAUAAUAAACAUAUUUUAUAAUCAUAUUCGACAAAAACUAUUAUGACAAGAUUGUGCAGGUGUACCUAAUAAAAGGUCCCGGGACACUCACCUUUGCAUUCUGGACAUGCGAUGCAGUUCCAUGUCAUCACUUCCCCGGAAGCCUUUGGCAAAGGGGUUGUUCUCAAUUUUAAGUUGGGUUAUCUACAAAAAAAUAAAUAAUAAUAAUAAAUGUGACAUCAGUAAUAGACUGCAACUUAUGAACAAGUCCACAUUAAAUCACUUAUUAAUAUUAAUACCAUUUAGUAUGUUACAACAGGACUACUUUGCAGAUAUGUUUGUUAAAUCAAUAUGUGUUUGUAUGUCUGAUAUUUGAUUUCUAGGUUCCUUCCUUUCACUUUUCCCUGUCCAGACUCUAAGUUUUGUCUGCACGCUG